rnacentral:rRNA from 1 species
ACGCUCGACACCUACGGGAGGCAGCAGUAGGGAAUCUUCCACAAUGGGCGCAAGCCUGAUGGAGCAACACCGCGUGAGUGAAGAAGGGUUUCGGCUCGUAAAGCUCUGUUGUUGGAGAAGAACGUGCGUGAGAGUAACUGUUCACGCAGUGACGGUAUCCAACCAGAAAGUCACGGCUAACUACGUGCCAGCAGCCGCGGUAAUCUGAGCGGGCUGGCAAGGC